rnacentral:rRNA from 1 species
UACGAAGGGGGCUAGCGUUGCUCGGAAUCACUGGGCGUAAAGGGUGCGUAAGCGGGUCUUUAAGUCAGAGGUGAAAUCCUGGAGCUCAACUCCAGAACUGCCUUUGAUACUGAAGAUCUUGAGUUCGGGAGAGGUGAGUGGAACUGCGAGUGUAGAGGUGAAAUUCGUAGAUAUUCGCAAGAACACCAGUGGCGAAGGCGGCUCACUGGCCCGAUACUGACGCUGAGGCACGAAAGCGUGGGGAGCAAACAGG